AUUGAACGCUGGCGGCAUGCCUUACACAUGCAAGUCGAACGGCAGCACGGGGCAACCUGGUGGCGAGUGGCGAACGGGUGAGUAAUGCAUCGGAACGUACCUUUCAGAGGGGGAUAACGUAGCGAAAGUUACGCUAAUACCGCAUAGUCUGUGAGCAGGAAAGCAGGGGAUCGCAAGACCUUGCGCUGAUUGAGCGGACGAUGGCCGAUUAGCUAGUUGGUGAGGUAAGGGACCACCAAGGCGACGAGCUGUAGCGGGUCUGAGAGGAUGAUGCGCCACACUGGAACUGAGACACGGUCAAGACUCCUACGGGAGGCAGCAGUGGGGAAUUUUGGACAAUGGGGGCAACCCUGAUCCAGCCAUGCCGCGUGAGUGAAGAAGGCCUUCGGGUUGUAAAGCUCUUUCGGCCGGGAAGAAAUCGCACGGGCUAAUACCCUGUGUGGAUGACGGUACCGGAAUAAGAAGCACCGGCUAACUACGUGCCAGCAGCCGCCGUAAGAC
rnacentral:rRNA from 1 species